CAACUACCAGCGUGGUCCCUUGAUCUUCCUUUCAAGCCAGAGGCCACCAAACCUUAAUUUCCAAACGCAAUAGGGAGAUGCUGAGGAAGGGAAGAGGAUUGUGCGGUGUGGCAUCCAUCUGCUUUAUCCGUGCGUCCAUUCUGCUCGACAGACAUUACACAGGUGGGGAUCAGUUUAAUCCCUCCGUUCUUUCCAAGAUUUUGCUGUAAUCUUUUUUUUAUAUAAACGUCUAGGAUUUUUUCUUUUUCUUUUCAUACACACUCCUUGAUUUUAAAAAAAAAUGAACGUAGACUACUUCUUUUUAAACAGCAGAUCUUUAAACUUUGGGCUAGAAAGGAACUUAUUCUUUGAAGCAGUGCUGAAACUUAAAAGACUCUUAGGAUUUUGAAGUUGGACUGAACACAUUUUAUGUCAGGAGAUGGCCACGAGCCCAUGGCGACAAGAGGCAGAAGGUUAUGGCUUAAAAACGAUUCAUUUGGGUGUCAAGUUGCCAAGGAGCGAAUUUGUGCUACUUCAGAUUGUCAACCUGACAGGCUAUGGAAUCCUUAGGAGACAAACUUCUAGGUGUGUUUGGGAGAGUUUCUAGAAUGAUCCUAGGUGAGAAGACCCGAUCUAAAUGUAGGUAGCACAACUCCAUGAGCUGGAGUCCUGGCUAUAAAUAAAGGUGAAAGCAAGCUGAGCUCAGCAUUCAUUUUCCUCAGUGUCCUGACUGAAUGUAAUGUGACCUGCCAUGCCUUCCUACCAUGGUGGGCUAGACCUUUGAAUGUGAGGCAGCAUAGACACUCCCUUCCGUUGUUUCUUGUCAGUAACUCACAGCAACAGGGAAGUGAUUAAUACUGUCCUGUUCUGGAGGAGGGAUGGGAAUCUGAGCUGCCAACACUUCGAUCGCCAAAGAGCGUGAACAUGAGAACAGAGUAGGGACGCACCGAGAUUAAGUCAGUGAACAAACAGGAAGAGGCCGGGUCCGAUGGUACAGUUGCUGUAGUGCUCAUUCCUGGUUGUCAACUUGACUCUAUCUGGAAUGAACUACCAUCCAGAACUGGAAGGCUCACCUGUGAUCCUGAUCUUGAGGCUGGGAGAUACAAGUUUCUGACCUGGAUCUUAGCAUGAAGGUCUUGAGGCAUAGUGGCUGUGAAUCCCAAGCGACUAAGGCAAGGAGAUCUCCAAGUUCAAGGUCCUCUAGGACAAAGCAAGUCCCAGAUCCAGGCCUGGUGGUACACACCUUUAAUCUGGGACACACCUUCUUCUGGAGACCUACAUAUGGACAUUGGAAGAAGGACGAUGCAAUCUUCUUUGACUGCCUGCCUUGUAGGACUGAGUCACUGCUAGAUCCUCGGACUUCCAUUCACAGCUGCUGCUGACCCUUGUUGGGAGUUGGACUGUAGACUGCUACACAGAACAAAUGUCUUUCAGAGUCUCCACGUCUGGUCUGAUGCUUUCCUUCCAGUUUUGGAAGGGCUCAAUAUCAAGUUUCCAGACUACUCGGAUUCAAGGAGCUCAGAGAACAUCUUCAUGGGAAUACAUUAAGGCCACACUGCAGGACAAGUAGGAGGAGUGGAAGCCAUCUCUGUAGGAAUCUUCAUGAACCCUGCCCUGCUGCAUUGUGGACAGCCGUGGGAUCCUGUCAGCAGAGCUCAGCAUCGUCCAUAGACAAAAACUCUGAUUGGUGUAAAUUGAAAUGUGUGUCUCUUGGGUCAGCAAAUUAUGACACCUGGCAGCCCCUCAGAUCACACAUAGGCAAUAUUUCAAAAGAAGAAGUCCUCCAAGUGUCAAAAGAACACAUGUGUGAGACACCUGCUUAAUGCCCACUGCAAUGUUUAUUCCCAUGAUGUACAGGUUUCAUCACAAGAGUCAGCAACGUAACAGAAAAGUAACCAAUCUCCCCACAGCUGCUUCGGCCUCCGAGUUAUGUCUACACCACUCCCUCCACUCUUCCUCAGAGCACACCCUUCGGCUUAAAGGUAAAGCUGAUUUAAUGUCUCUCUUCUCUGCAAGUUCAAUAUGCAGAUGGGCAAGUGUGUCUGUGAGGUCCCCUUUUGCUGUACAUUUCUUGGUUUCUAAUUCUGAAUCCUCUCAGUCUCGCCCAUUACUCCCAUUGAGGAGGCAUUUCCAACCAUGUCUUGAAGUAAUUUCUAUGAGCUGUCUGUCUGUCUGUCUGUCUGUCUGUCUGUCUGUCUGUAUUUGGUGUGUGCUUCAGACAGAGGGAGAAAGGCAACUGACUUGUAAUAAUCUUCCUAGAUUCCUAGGCCAAUUGAAUUCUAGCUCUUUGGCCAGCAGGAGACAUUGGUUCCCACCUGAGGGCAGGAAGCAGGGAGGAGUGUCUUUCUCCCCUUUCCUCUCUAUUUCUUCUGGUCACUAGGGCACUGGCUGAGCAGGAGACAAUCUGCUAGCCCUCCUGCGUGAUGUCAGCUUGUCAUUUAAAGUGUUAUCUCUGUUGGGUUGGAGCACAACUCCAAAGUAGACAAGUACAGCCCCAACUCCCAUAAUUCUGUGAGUAUGACUUGAGUUGUGGACAGGACUUUUUGAUGUAAUUAGGCAAGAUGAAAUCAUACUGUGGCAGGAGAAGCCUGUUCUGUAAAAGUGCUCCUUGUAUAAGAGAAGACAACAGAAAAGGAGACCAGGUGAUGACUGGGGCAGAGACUGAAGUGAUGCUUGGAGAAGCCAAGGAACAGCAAGCGUUGUUGACUCUGUGAAGAAGCCAGGAGACAGGCAUGGAACAGCCUUCUCCUCAGAGCCUUCAGAAGGGACCUGCCCGAACCCUUUGAAUAUAAAUAGUUGGCCCCUGGGACUGUGGACAAAUACAUUGCUGUUGUUUAAACAUUCCACGUCAUGGUAACUUCUUAAGGAAUGCAAGGGCUUGGGGGUACCCUUCUCCCUACACCUCCUUUCUCCUCAUCCUGGAGGGCUAAUAAUGGAAGAUGCUUGUUAGCAGCCAACCUCUAGGAUGCCCAACUCUCCUUCUGUCUUCUUCUCAAACUUUAUAGAACCUGUAAAACCGACUCCUCCUGCUAAGCACUCACUGCUUAAAAUGGCUGCACCGGUUUCGGUUUUCUCACGGGGCCCAGAGUGACACUCGAAUAUCUCUGAUCUUCAUAAUGUGCUUACUACAUUCCAGGCACUGCGUUGAGUAUCUUACCAGUAUCAUUGCAUUUAAUCCUCUCAUCGAUCUUUUGACAGAAGCUCCACUUACUGCUCUGAACAGACAGGGAAUGAGGAAGAGGAAAGAAUGCAGUCCAGGAAGGUCACAUAAGUAAUUAGGGACAAAUGGGGAUUCAAAUCCAGGCUGGGCUGACUAGAGAAACCAAGGUCUGGACACUCUUCUACUGUGCGACUGUGCCUUGCCUGGGCCUUCUCUAAAGCCAAUUACUAAGGAUCCAGUUCUCUUACUUUGUACCCAAUGGCUCCUUCCCUUCUCUCUGGCCUCAGCAUUCUUGUUUGCUUUGCUCAGAGUCAAUGCUCUGCCCCACCAGUCUCUGAUGGAGCGAGAGUCUGAUCUCAUGCAUCCCUUUGAGGCCUUUGCAGCAGCAUCCAGAAGGGCCUUCCAGCCAUUUGUUUUUUCUGUUAGAGAACUAAAAAUGAUUUCUUCCUCCAGAGUGGAUCUUUCCUCAGAGUUGUCAUAAUAGACUAGAAUACAGGACAACGAGAUAAUAACAAGGUCAUGAAUGCAGCUCUGUGUCCAUAACUUGUCAGCGUGUGUGUGUGUGUGUGUGUGUGUGUGUGUGUGUGUGUGUGUGUGAGAGAGAGAGAGAGAGAGAGAGAGAGAGAGAGAGAGAGAGAGGGUCCAUGCAUGGAGAUCAAGGGCAACUGAGAAUCAAUUCUUUCUCUCUACUUUUACAUGGUUCCUGAGAUAGAACUCAGAUCAGCAGGCUUUCCUCACUGGAUGAGCUUUACCAGCUGAGCUGUCCUUCUAAACUGUGGCUGAGUUUAAACCUUCCUCAUAUUUGCCUUACAUUUUUUUUUCUGCUAAGAAUGUUCUAGCUGUUAGUACCCUUUCCGCCCUUAGCCUCCCAAAGAGCUGGAAGUAGAGAAGGACUAGAUCUCCAAAUCUAUUCUAUUAAGUACUCUACCUAAGGCAAGCAUGGAUAAGUCAUGGAAGGGAGGAGGGUGGGGCCAUGUUAGAAUAGAAAUGCAUAUGUCCUGGCUGCGAUACAGUUGUCUGGUAUCAUAGAGAAGAUAGUUAGACAGAAGUCAGGUGUAGACUCUGAGUGCUAGCAGAAUUCAUGGAUGCAGGAAUAUGUUUUGAGACACAGUUUUACUAUGUUGCCUAGACCAGCAUAGAUCCUCCAGCCUGUCUUCCCAGGGUUGGGAUUGUAAGUGUGUGUUGCCAUCCGUGGCUUCUAAAUUCAACUACAUCGUAGAAAUCCAGUGAGAGUAUAGACAGCCAGCACAAUAGUUAUUAUGAGGAAAAUCCACGCACUUUUGACAACAGAAGUGUCAAUUAUGGUUCCUAAGUCCCUCUAGCAGCAUAGGAAGCCAUUCACAAACAUACAGACCCCACGUCUGAGUCCUGAGUAUCUUAGCCCUGCCCACCCCUGAAAUACCAUUUGCUGUUCCUUUGCAUGAGGUUGAAUCUAUUAUGACUUCAGUUUGACUUAUUUUUUCCUAACAAUUUUGGAGUCCCAUAUCUACGGAUAAUUUGAGUAUCUGUUUAUUUCUAGGCAAUGACCCUGGCAGCUCAUACAUAUUGGUAACUGACGUUGGUUGGCUAUAUAAAUAUUGAUUAGCCUCAUAGUUUGUUGUAUAGUUUCAACUUAUUUGAUAUUACUUUUUUGUUCUAUAGAAGUUUGCAUUUAAUGAUAAAUUCAUCAUUUUACUUUAUGGUUCAUCUCUGUAUAAUUUGCUUAGGAAAUCGUUCUGCUAAAUCAUCUUGUUCAAUCUCCGAAACUCCCAACAGUCUCCUAUCUUACUUCCUACCACUAUUUCACUAAACCGUACAAGGUUCUAGGACGUUCUCUUAGGUGGGACUGUUCUUGAGUGCCUAUUUCCAGUGUGUGUGUGUGUGUGUGUUUGUGUGUGUGUGUGUGCGUAUGCAUGUAUGUGUGUAUGCGUGUGUGUGUAUGUAUGUGUGUAUGUAUAUGUAUGUAUGUGUAUGUGUAUAUGUGUAUGUAUGUGUGUAUGUGUGUGCAUAUGUGUGUAUGUGUAUAUGUGUGACUAUGUGUGUGUAUGUGUGUAUGUGUGUAUGUCUAUGUGUGUGUGUGUGCGUGCGCACGCACAUGUUUGCAUGCGAGUGCGCAUGGGAAACUCUACAUUUAGAACUGCUUGUUCUUCCUCCAGGGGUAUGUCUUAGGACUAUAAUGCAGAAAAUACCUCAAGCAUCUCUACAACACAAUUACAAAAAGGAUCUGUGGUCAAUUAAAAACUGCUUUCUAGACAAUGAAUAUGUAGCAUGUUACAAACCCCAAAAGACUACAGAAGAGAACCCUGGUAACUGUCCGUAACUCUGCUCUUUUGAGCACAGCAUCUCCACAGGGACCUUGCCUCUUAGCAUCUUGUAGAACUAAUCACUUUUUGAAUGAUGUUUCUGGAACUUGUGAUCGACUUUUAGGAAUUUGAAGACAUUCCUUUCGAUGAUUUUGCUAAUAUCUUUGUUGCGUUUAUGAAGCUGCAGGGUUCUGGAUUCCAUUCCAGUGUUGCAGAAGAGCCCUGUGAACCUCUCACUGUAGCUGCAGCGCCCACUCUUUCCUUCUCCUGAACUUCUUUGUAUUUACGAUCCCAAGCACUUGCCUAGUGUCUGUAUAAGCCACGGCAGCACUAAGAGCCUUUCUUCACUAAUAGAUGAAUAUGAAUAUGAAGAAAAGGAAGAGGAAGAAGAACAACAACAAACCAGCAACAACAAUAAGAAGCCAUCAUACACAGUGGCCAUAUGCAAAUGCUCUGUUGUUAUUAAAUGAAUUACUGGACAUCAGCAAUCAGGUUUUUUGGGGGGGCAUAGAAACGGUAUUCAGCAACAGAGCUAAUCAACCACACUUAAUUAAUUUCCUGGGGACCUGGUUAAAAUGAAGAUCAUGUUUGGGUAUGUCAGUCAUAGGCACACAAACCAUCCUUGGUUAACAAAGCCCUGUAAAAUUGGUUCUCCCAUGCAGAACAUUACCUAGACGGAAAAAUGAAUGAGGUCCUAAUUUGAAAAAAUAAAUGUUGUCCUGAAGCAGUGUAGGGAAAAAUGCAUGACCACAAGGACUCCAGGCCCCAGAUUCAAACAGACUGCAGUCAACCUGGGUUAAGAAGUUGUUUCAGACUUAUGUCAAGAACUCUUGGGGCUUGUAGUACUAGUCACACUUAUGAAAGUACUACCGCCAUUUUGAAUCUCUCUAUUUGGCCACAGCUGUCUUCUCUUGGUUCCUAGAAUAUGCAGCCUUAAUGCCAGGAGAGGUGUGAAUGUGGUCUGCUUAUUAGAUUUCUAGAUGGCAACAUUUGACACUCUGCAUUAAGUUUUCCUUACACUCUUCCCUCUUUGCUGGGACAGAACAUCUGGAGGAGCAAGUGAUGGGAGGCAGGGAGGGUUUAUUCUGCUUCAUUCAUCAUUGUGGGGAAGGUGUGGCAGCUGGGACUAUGUCUGUGACAGUAGGAGCUAGCAACUUAGUAUGUUACACCAAGAAGCAGGGAGAGCCAUGACAGAAGCAGGCAAAAUUACAGCUUUUAAGGCCUUGUUCCUAAUGCCCAUCACCAGCCAUCUAGUCCCCUCCUCUUGAAGGUCUCACUGUCUCUCAAGACAGCACCACUAGCUGGAGAGAACAAGUGUCCCAACAGAGUGCCCUGAGCAUCAUUUUCUGUUUAAACUGCACUACCUGCGUUAGGUUCACAGUCUUCUGCAGACUUUAGGAUUAAUCCAAAUCUUCUCCUGGAUCACCGUACUUUAGAAUUUGAACUUUGCUUGUCUCUUGGACAAUACCUUGUCCAUGCCCCAUCCAUGAGACAGUUUUUCUCUCCUCUUCAAACACCCUAAACUUAUAACCAUAAAAUAAAACAAACAGGAAAAAUGUACCCAUCAGUCAUUUGCCUUCCGAAGUUCUCUGGGCAGCUUCUUUACUUUGGUGGAUCCUGUCACUCAGGACUUGGGUCAGACUUCAGAGAGCUGUUUCAUGUUGCUUGCUGGUAAUUACCCUCCUUUGUUUUACUCCCAUUGUCAACCCUGUCUUAAGCUGUAAUCUGUAUUUAUGUGUGCAGAGGAAGUUCUGGGCUGUGACCAAGCUGUCUCCUUUCUUGGCUGGUUUUUCCAUCCCCCAGCUGCUCUGAUUUUUGACAGGGAAUUCUCUGAGGAUCACUCAUGGUCCAGGGGAGCCAUCCAACUCAGAGGUCCCUACAGAACCAUGAUGUCCUGUGUCGACUUAUAAGGCAGCUCAGAACGGAUGGACUGACCAGUGAGGGAAACAGUCCAGUCACAGUGCGAGAUCCGGAGCUGGCUCAACUCAGUGGGACCAGCCACAGCCCGAGCUCUGGUGGGGAUGGGAUGGAACGGGGACCAGACUUAGCUCUACUGAGUUAGCUACUUCUCCAACUUGGCUCUCUUGGUCUGCCCUUCCUUAGUACCCCCUACGUGACUUGUGGAUUGAAUUUUUCAAUAACCCACAUUUGAAAAGAAUCUUUAUCUCUGACCGUGUUUUGAUAAAACCCAACUUAGACAGUGUCUUCCCACCGGAAUGCAAACUCCGUGAGACCAGAGAUCUUAUUUUUCCACUUCUGUGUGAUUGGUGCAAUGAUCAUUAAAGAUGCACUGGAGAAAGCCUGACUCUGGAUUCAUGGCACAGCAUUUGAUUAACAGUAGCGCAGUAUCAGAGCUCUGUCCCAUCCCACAAGACAGACAGACAGGCAGACACACAGGCAGACAGAUGACAAACAGACGCAUUAAAGUCAAGUGCAGGUCUCUUCACACGAAGUGAAUUUCAAACUUACUCUUCCUAUUUUUAUCCUUAUGAAUGCAAAACCAUAAAAAAAAAGCUGGGGGUAGGGUAGGGAUGUCAGAUCCCACCCCAUAAUAGGCCUCCCUCAAGUAUCUGAUUACACAAAGUCCUCAAAGAAUAUGAUUAAUGUAACUCAGCCAUAUUCACACUCUGACAUUCUUCCCAGCCAAACACAUAUUUUAGCCUCACCCAGUCCUUUUCAACAAAUAAGCUGUUUUGAAAAUGAUUUCCAAGGCGAUGUCUGUUGCCAUAGGAAUGACAUUAAAUGAAAAGGACAGAAAAUAUAGAGGGUGAUAAACUACACGCUUGGAUGACACACUUGACUUGGAAGCCUGUGUUCAAAUGAGGCAUACAUGCCAAGAUUUUUAUGAAAGACAAAAUUAAAAUGUAUCGCUAUCAGGCUGUAACUGACAAGGCAUUGUGUGCAGGCUGUUAACAUACUGCUCGUAUAUUUAUUGUAUGUCAUUUUACUGGCCCUGACAAAGGUCUCUCGGUGCUGUAAAUCACACCAUUAAAUCUGCCACGAGCAGCAGAGACUGUUGGAAAGAAGGGGAAAAAAAGCAAGCGUGGUGUUGGAUCCCCGUCUCUGGUCCAGGCUGAAUGAGCCAUCAUGUCUGUCAGGGGGCUUCCCCUUCGGGCUGACGCUUUUACAAGUGUCAGAUUGUUGGCUUUUGACCCCUUGAAAAGAGAAAAAAAUAUUAAUAACGAAAGCAUUCACCCUUCUCCUUCCAUCCCAUUUCCAAUUGCGUCUGCUUUUGCACUUGGGAGAGGCGCCAAGGGUUGCCCCUAUCCAGCCCAUCCAUGCUGUUUGGGGCAGGAGACCUCAGGUGUUCUAGGGUGGUCUUUGGAUUGUGCCCUGAUGAUAAGACUUUAGCUGCUUCCUUGAAGAUAUGCUGGGCUUCCCAUGAACCUCUUUUCUAAGAUUUAUUUGCCCUUGAAGUAGGAAGUUGACACAUGGGCUAUCCGUACCUGCAGCACAGACCAACGUGGGCUGGGAUAGGACACUUUCAAGUACUUCCCUCCUCCCCCUUCCUGUCCUUUUCUCCCCUCCCUCCCCCUUCCUUCUCUCCUUCCCUCCCUCCCUCCUCCUCUCCUUCCCACCCAUCUCUCCUACUGUGGGUGCUAUGGAGGCCCCACCAAGUAGCUUUGCUGGGCAGAGCGCUGUUGUGGAGAGGAGGAUGGGAAGAGAGAUCCAGAUCUGACCACAUUGAAGGUUGUGGCUUCAACCCCUUUUUAAGGUUCCUUAGACUGCAGUUUCCUUGUUUGGGGUUAGAAGGGAUGAGGUGUUGGGUGUCCUUUGAGAUGGCCCUGCACUUGAAAUGCUUGCUUGCAAAGACUUCUUGACUUCAGCAUUGGACAAAGUAGAAAUUGCAUUCGGAUUUUUCAAUUUUGAUUUGUUUUUAAACAGGCUGGCAUGACAUAUGCCGUAUUUUCUUGGGACUCUGCUUGGUGACAUAAACUGCUUCUGCAUCUGCCAAGCGAUCAAGAGGAGAAACUGUCGAGGCUCCUUGCCAUGUGUGAGGUGUCUAGAACAUGUUUGGAUGUGUGAUCUACUUAGCUUAUGAUGGGACCAUCAGACUCUAAUCCCAGCAUAAGCUUUGGAGCCUCUUAGGGGUCUAUGGCAGUGAGCAAUGCCAAGGAGGGCUCCUCCAUAGUAUUCAGAUAAAUCUCAGUUAGGGGAGAGUCCCGUCAAUCAAACAGUGUUUUUUUUUUUGUUGUUGUUGUUGUUGUUUUGUUUUGUUUUGUUUUUGUUUUUGUAGGGCAAAGGGCAAAGGAAAAAAAAAACUCAUCAGGGCCAGGGUCUAAACUAGAGAGUUGGAAGACAGGAAUGUAAUCAGGGGCUUGGAGUGGGGACAUUGUUUUCAGGAUUCAUUAAAAAAGGGAGUUGCCUGCCAGUGUCUCUCUCUGUAAUAGCUAACAUUUUAAUAACACAAAUGGAUGUUUUGGGCAACAGAUUUUAAAAGAAAGGACAACUUUCAUUUACAUCCUCGUGUUUCUUUCCCGAAACUUCUAGGGUAAGAACCAUCUUGAGUAAUGUCCAAAGACCUGUUUGGACAUAAUUGAGAAACAGACCCUUAAAAAUUUAAAGACAAACAUUUUGCUUCCAGUCAGUUAUUAUCAGAGUUCAGUCUGCGCAGGCUUCAAAAUCGUCAACCUCUAUAUUGGGUUCGCGGUAAUCCUGUAAUUAUAGAUUUGAGGGAGGGUUGAAAUUGCUUAUAAUUGCGGAAAGGGUGACCAGUGAGCCAUGCCAUUCUUCUGUCUUCACCCAAGCCUUCCGAUUGGUGGGUGGUAUUCCUGUAGGGCACACUUCCUUAAGAAGUUCAUGGUCAAUGUCUUGGUUCUGCUUCUAAGGUAGUAUUAAUUUGUCAUUUCUCCAAGGGGUUCAUGAUUAAGUGAGCAGGUUCUAAAACCUGCCAGCAUUAAAGUCAUGAAAUGAUCCCACCAUUCACUUACAGGGAGUGCACUCAAGUAUGGCCCUGGAGAAGUGGUUUCUCCUCUCAGAGUUUCUUUUUUCCUCACGUGUAGCCACUGUCACUUAGGGAGAAGCAUAUGGGGCUGAUUUAUUAUGCACUCAGGGAAUUAUAAAUCUGAAGUAGCAUUGGUUUUUUAUUGGCUAUCAUUUUAGAAAUGUCAUGCAAAUCUAAAACUUCAACAUUUUUAAAAACUCUGUUUGUGUGUGUGUGUGUGUGUGUGUGUGUGUGUGUGUGUGAGGGGGAGGGGGAGACUGGGUUUUCAGAUCCAGGAGCUGGACUUCUAGGCUGCUGUAUAUAUGCCACUGUGCAGGGAACUGAGCUAAGGCACUCUGGGAUAGCAGCAUAACCCCUUAACCACUGACCUGUCUUCAGCACUCAGAUUUCAAAUCUUUCACACACACCCCGAGUCCUAAUCUUUCCCACAUAUUAAAAAUGACCUACGAGUUACUAAAUCAACCAAGAAAUGCACUGAAGGCAAUUUGAGACUCAGGAUGUUAUAAGUAUGGGAGAAUGAUUAUUUCUAUUUUAAUCUGUCUUUGUUUUUUCUCCUUUUAAUGUGAUAAACACCCUGGCCAACCCAGUUGGGGAGGCAAGGAUGUGUUUGGCUGACAGGAAGUCAAGGCAGACGAUCAAGCAGGCAGGAGCCGGAGGCAGGAACAGAGGCAGAGACCAUGAAGGGAUCUCUGCUUGCUGGCUUGCUCCUCCUGCCUUGCUCAGUUUGCUUUCUUAUGCAUCUCAGGACCAUCACCCCAGGGGACAGCACCACCCACAGUGACCUGAGCCCUGUCCCAUUAAUCAUGGGUCAAGAAAAUGUCCCAUCUGAUGGCGGUAUUUUGUAAGUGGAGGUCCCUCUUCCCAGAUGACCCUGGUUUUUGUCAAGGUGACAAAAAAAAGAAAGAAAACAAACAAACACACACACACACACACACACACACACACACACACACACACACACACACAAGAAACCACCACCAAAAACAAAACAAAACAGAAACCAAAAUACAGCCAGCAUACUUUUAUCUUCAGUGAAUUAGAAUAAUGGCUUUAGUUAUUACCCUUUCUCAACUUCAAAAUUUUAACACCAUUUCUAAGUAUAAAGAACUAAAAAAAAAUCGUGUCUGCCAUUCCCAGCAUGGGGCAGUCAGCAAAACCUUAAG